CCUACGGGGUGCAGCAGUGAGGAAUAUUGGUCAAUGGGCGCGAGCCUGAACCAGCCAAGUCGCGUGAGGGAUGACGGCCCUACGGGUUGUAAACCUCUUUUGCCGGGGAGCAACGGGCGCCACGUGUGGCGCCACUGCGAGUACCCGGAGAAAAAGCAUCGGCUAACUCCGUGCCAGCAGCCGCGGUAAUACGUGGGAUGCGAGCGUUAUCCGGGUUUAUUGGGUUUGAAGGGUGCGUAGGCGGAUCGUUAAGUCAGUGGUCAAAUUGAGGGGCUCAACCCCUUCCCGCCAUUGAAACUGGCGUUCUUGAGUGGAAGAGAAGUAUGCGGAAUGCGUGGUGUAGCGGUGAAAUGCAUAGAUAUCACGCAGAACCCCGAUUGCGAAGGCAGCAUGCCGGCUUCCGACUGACGCUGAAGCACGAAAGCGUGGGGAUCGAACAGGAUUAGAUACCCGAGUAGUC
rnacentral:rRNA from 1 species